rnacentral:rRNA from 1 species
UCCUGUUGUAGCUGGGUAGUAAGAGAUGAUCUUGAAACCUAAAAUUUUUGGCGGUUUUUCAGGCCAGUUAGAGGAACCUGUUCUUUAAUAGAUAUUCCACUGUUGGGUUUAGCUUCUUAAAGAGGUAUGUAUACCGCCGUCGUAAAGUAGUUUUUAUAGAGAUUAUUGAGGGGUUGAGGGUGAAAAAUGAUGACAGGUCAAGGUGCAGCUGAUGAAGGAGGGUGAAAUGGGUUACAAUAAUGUAUUGUUAUUAUGAAUUAGACAGAGAAAUAAUGUCUAUGAAGGUGGAUUUAAUAGUAAAAGUAAAUUAGUAAGUUAGUUUGAUUAGGGCUCUGAGGGAUGU